GGGGUUGUGGCUCAGUGGUACAGUGCUUGCCUAGCAUGCAUGAGGCACUAGGUUCGAUCCUCAGCACCA
rnacentral:tRNA from 1 species